UCCACGUCGCUCCGUAAGGAGCUAUGCGGGCAACCGGCGGACGGGUGAGUAAUGCGUGGGAAUCUACCUCAAAGUUGGACAUAGCCCCGCGAAAGCGGGGGUAAUUUCCAAUGUGAUCCGGCUUUGCCGGAUCAAAGCCGCAAGGCGCUUUGAGAUGAGCCCGCGUCCUAUCAGCUAGUUGGUGGGGUAAUGGCCUACCAAGGCGACGACGGGUAGCUGGUCUGAGAGGAUGGUCAGCCACAAUGGCACUGAGACACGGGCCAUACACCUACGGGUGGCGCAGUCGGGAAUUUUGGACAAUGGGCGAAAGCCUGAUCCAGCGACGCCGCGUGGAGGAUUGAAGGCCUUCGGGUCGUAAACUCCUUUUGCAGUAGAAGAUUAUGACGGUAUGCUGCGAAUAAGCACUUGCUAACUACGUGCCAGAAGCCUCGGUAAUGCGUAGAGUGCAAGCGUUAUCCGGAUUUACUGGGCGUAAAGAGUUGCGUAGGCGGCUCGACGCAUUCUGUUUGAAAUGCCUCGACUCAAUCGAGGAUUUGGACAGAAGAUGGUCGAGCUAGAGGGAAAGAGAGGGUGCUGGAACCAAUUGUGGAGCAGUGAAAUGCGUUGAUAUGAUUGGGAACACCAAAGGCGUAGGCAGGCACCUAACUUUCUCCUGACGCUGAGGCACGAAAGCUAGGGGAGCGAAGCAGAUUAGAGACCUGCGUAGUCCUAGCCGUAAACAAUCCCUGCUAGAUAGUCUGAUGUAUUUUGGACUGUCGUAGCUAACGCGUUAAGCAGGGCGCCUGGGGAGUACGAGCGCAAGCUUAAAACUCAAAGGAAUUGACGGGGACCCGCACAAGCAGUGGAGCGUGUGGUUUAAUUCGAUACAAAGCGAAAAACCUCACCAGGGCUUGACAUGCA
rnacentral:rRNA from 1 species